AAACGACCAAAAAACUUUACAAGGGAGAGCGCGAGCGAACGGGCAAGAAGUGAGACGGAACGGGGGAAAAAGGGGCUAGUGGGGGGAGGCGAUCAACGCACUCUUCUCCCUCGACAUGUGUCGCUGCCCUCUCGCACUUCUUCCUCUUUUUUUUUGUCGUUCUCUCUUCUCUUUCUGUUCUCGGUGAUGACGUGUUUCUUGUUCUUUUCUGUUGUCCUCUUUUUCGUUACUGGUUGGUGUUGGUGCUUGUGUAAGUGCUCUUGUUACCGUGGUGUCUGUGCCUGUGCGGCGGGCCGCACACCUGUAACACAAAGGUGGCACAGCUCAUGCACAUACGCACAUGCGAGGUUUCGAAAGCAGAAACACACACACACACACACACGAGCAUACAGAAGCAGAAAAAAAAAGACAGAAGGGACGAAACACGUCGAGCUACCAUGGCGCACAACAGCGAAACAGAAGGAAACGGAUAAGCGCAAAAAGCGGAAAAAAAAGGAUAACAGGACCACGCUCCAUGUGCUUUCUGAUCGCCUCCUCCCUCCCCCAAAAAAAGAGAGACGAAAGGGAUUUAAAAAAGAGACAAGAGCGAUGUUCCCCCCUUUUCCAGUGUGCAUGCACACGUACGCGCGUGUGUAUGCGUGCUCCUCCCCUUCUUUUUUUUUAGGUUUGCUCUCUUUUCUCUCCUGUUCUGUUCUUUUUUUUUUGCCUGCAAGCUUGCUUGCCACGAAUGAUGACGAUGCUCAUGCGCCUGAGAGAGUUUUUCCUUUGUAGAGAACCUGCGCUCUUCUUGUUGGUGUUGUGUUUGGUGUUGCGUUGGGUGUUUGUGCAGAAGCAACGUGACAGCAAGUGCGCCGUCAUGCACGCAUUUUGUGUGAAGGUGUAGGCACGAAGGAAGAAAUAACAGAAGAAAGCGACUAUUGGGGGUGUUGGGUGGCUGAUUAUUGUUUUGACCCCACCCUCCUCUCAUUUUUUUUUUCGGUGUGCUCGGCUGACACCCCGCCUCCACACACACACACACACACACGCAAGAACCGCCAAAGCGCUCAGCGACAAAAAAAACCAGGCAAUCAUUGACACACACACACACACACACACACACACACACACACACGCCAAGGCACACGAACACGCAGCCGUACGCGUACGCACCCUUGCACUUGUAUACACGCAAACAGCGGGAUUGCUCACCCUUUGUUCUUCUUUUGCUUUGCUCGUUUAUGAACCUCUUUCUCGUGCGUGUAUGUGAAGUUAAUAAAUCAGCCAAGUUGCUUGGCUCAAAUUUGGUGUCCGUGUGGCAUGCCAGCAUGCAUGUGAGUGUCUCUGUCCACGAUAGAAGUCAAAACAACGGAGGAAGAUGAAAGAAACGAAAACAAAACUCUGUGAACGAAGUGGUUGCAGCAGUCGUCAUGGCACACAGACACGCAGACACGCGCACGCACAUACAUGUAUAUGGACAGCGCAAGGGCGUGCCCAUUUCGCAAUGGGCACUCAAAGGAGAGAGGAUGGAUAAAGAAGCGAUGGCUGGCGUGGAAUGUGAUCAUGAGUGAGGAAGACAGGUCUCUGCCCCGUGGCCGCCUCCUCCCCUCCUCUCUUUUUGGCUCUCUGUUUUCAGGGCGCUGCUUCGCAUAUAUGCGUAUUGGUCUGUGCGUACGAGUGCGUGCGUGUGUGUGUGUGUCCACAUCUCUGCCUGAGUGUGUAGGUUUGCUGAGGAGUGACAUGACGAAGCGUCCACAGCAGCCAAGAGCAGUGCCAAGCAAAACGAAGCAACGUUGUUGUCUUCCGCACGUGCGCCCAUGCUGUGCGGUACUGUGUGUCUAUACAUGCACGUUAGAAGCAAGCAUACACACACACAAACACCCACAGACCGCGACACGAGUGCUGAAUCUUGCACUGUCGUACCAAUGUUGUUCUUCGUUUUAUGCGUCUCUCUUUCUUCUGCCUCUACACUCAUCCUACACUCUUUGCCUCUGUUGCCCGUUUUCAUCUUCUUUUCACGUUGCACACUCUUCCUCACCGGACGCAUGUUUGCUGCACGUGUAUGCGUCUGUGUGUGUGUGUGUGCAUGUAUGCGUUGUCGUAUGCGCACCACUUCUAUUGCCUCCUAAUGCCCCACCAUCUUCCCGCGCUUGCCCCUUCCGCGGCAACCCCACUUUCCCACCACUACUCCACUUCUUGCUCCGGCACACAUGUACACACACACAUGUGCACAUGCAUGCACCUACACUCUAUCAUCGGCAG
rnacentral:misc_RNA from 1 species